GUGCUUGCUUUGGCAGCACAUAUAAAUCAGUAUACUACAGAAAGGAUUAGCAUAGCUUAUACACAAGUAUGACACAAGUUUAAAGUAGUCCAUAUUUUU
rnacentral:snRNA from 1 species